GGCUCAGGAUGAACGCUAGCUACAGGCUUAACACACACAAGUCGAGGGGCAGCAUGGUCUUAGCUUGCUAAGGCCGAUGGCGACCGGCGCACGGGUGAGUAACACGUAUCCAACCUGCCGUCUACUCUUGGACAGCCUUCUGAAAGGAAGAUUAAUACAAGAUGGCAUCAUGAGUCCGCAUGUUCACAUGAUUAAAGGUAUUCCGGUAGACGAUGGGGAUGCGUUCCAUUAGAUAGUAGGCGGGGUAACGGCCCACCUAGUCUUCGAUGGAUAGGGGUUCUGAGAGGAAGGUCCCCCACAUUGGAACUGAGACACGGUCCAAACUCCUACGGGAGGCAGCAGUGAGGAAUAUUGGUCAAUGGGCGAGAGCCUGAACCAGCCAAGUAGCGUGAAGGAUGACUGCCCUAUGGGUUGUAAACUUCUUUUAUAAAGGAAUAAAGUCGGGUAUGCAUACCCGUUUGCAUGUACUUUAUGAAUAAGGAUCGGCUAACUCCGUGCCAGCAGCCGCGGUAAUACGGAGGAUCCGAGCGUUAUCCGGAUUUAUUGGGUUUAAAGGGAGCGUAGAUGGAUGUUUAAGUCAGUUGUGAAAGUUUGCGGCUCAACCGUAAAAUUGCAGUUGAUACUGGAUAUCUUGAGUGCAGUUGAGGCAGGCGGAAUUCGUGGUGUAGCGGUGAAAUGCUUAGAUAUCACGAAGAACUCCGAUUGCGAAGGCAGCCUGCUAAGCUGCAACUGACAUUGAGGCUCGAAAGUGUGGGUAUCAAACAGGAUUAGAUACCCUGGUAGUCCACACGGUAAACGAUGAAUACUCGCUGUUUGCGAUAUACAGCAAGCGGCCAAGCGAAAGCGUUAAGUAUUCCACCUGGGGAGUACGCCGGCAACGGUGAAACUCAAAGGAAUUGACGGGGGCCCGCACAAGCGGAGGAACAUGUGGUUUAAUUCGAUGAUACGCGAGGAACCUUACCCGGGCUUAAAUUGCAGAUGAAUUACGGUGAAAGCCGUAAGCCGCAAGGCAUCUGUGAAGGUGCUGCAUGGUUGUCGUCAGCUCGUGCCGUGAGGUGUCGGCUUAAGUGCCAUAACGAGCGCAACCCUUGUUGUCAGUUACUAACAGGUUCCGCUGAGGACUCUGACAAGACUGCCAUCGUAAGAUGUGAGGAAGGUGGGGAUGACGUCAAAUCAGCACGGCCCUUACGUCCGGGGCUACACACGUGUUACAAUGGGGGGUACAGAGGGCCGCUACCACGCGAGUGGAUGCCAAUCCCAAAAACCUCUCUCAGUUCGGACUGGAGUCUGCAACCCGACUCCACGAAGCUGGAUUCGCUAGUAAUCGCGCAUCAGCCACGGCGCGGUGAAUACGUUCCCGGGCCUUGUACACACCGCCCGUCAAGCCAUGGGAGCCGGGGGUACCUGAAGUGCGUAACCGCGAGGAGCGCCCUAGGGUA
rnacentral:rRNA from 1 species